rnacentral:rRNA from 1 species
GACGAACCGUGCGAACGUUAUUCGGAAUCACUGGGCUUAAAGCGCGUGUAGGUGGGAGGGUACGUCUGUCGCUGAAAUCCCCCGGCUCGACCGGGGAACGGGCGCGGAUACGGCCUUCCUCGAGGAACGUAGGGGGAGCUGGAACUUCCGGUGGAGCGGUGAAAUGCGUUGAGAUCGGAAGGAACGCCCGUGGCGAAAGCGAGCUCCUGGACGUUUUCUGACACUGAGACGCGAAAGCCAGGGGAGCGAACGGG